rnacentral:rRNA from 1 species
UUACUUGGAUAACUGUGGUAAUUCUAGAGCUAAUACAUGCCAACAGAAUUCCAACCGGAGACGGAAGGAAUGCUUUUAUUAGAUCAAAACCAAUCGGUGGUGCGGCAACGCGCCAUCGUGCAACUUGGUGAUUCUGAAUAACUUUAUGCUGAUCGCACGGCCUAGCGCCGGCGACGCAUCUUUCAAAUGUCUGCCUUAUCAACUGUCGAUGGUAGGUUCUGCGCCUACCAUGGUUGUAACGGGUAACGGGGAAUCAGGGUUCGAUUCCGGAGAGGGAGCCUGAGAAACGGCUACCACAUCCAAGGAAGGCAGCAGGCGCGCAAAUUACCCACUCCCGGCACGGGGAGGUAGUGACGAAAAAUAACGAUACGGGACUCAUCCGAGGCCCCGUAAUCGGAAUGAGUACACUUUAAAUCCUUUAACGAGGAUCUAUUGAAGGGCAAGUCUGGUGCCAGCAGCCGCGGUAAUUCCAGCUUCAAUAGCGUAUAUUAAAGUUGUUGCGGUUAAAAAGCUCGUAGUCGAACUUGUGCGCCGCGCCGUCGGUUCACCGUCCGCGGUGUCAACUGGCGUGUCGCGGAGCGUCCUGCCGGUGGGCUUAGCUUGCAAAAGCGGCCCAAUCAAUCCCGCCGCGGUGCUCUUCAUUGAGUGUCGAGGAGGGCCGGCACGUUUACUUUGAACAAAUUAGAGUGCUUAAAGCAGGCCAAAAUUUUGCCUGAAUACUGUGUGCAUGGAAUAAUGGAAUAGGACCUCGGUUCUAUUUUGUUGGUUCUCGGAACUCCGAGGUAAUGAUUAAUAGG